rnacentral:rRNA from 1 species
GAUGAACGCUGGCGGCGUGCCUAAUACAUGCAAGUCGAGCGAACAGACGAGGAGCUUGCUCCUCUGACGUUAGCGGCGGACGGGUGAGUAACACGUGGAUAACCUACCUAUAAGACUGGGAUAACUUCGGGAAACCGGAGCUAAUACCGGAUAAUAUAUUGAACCGCAUGGUUCAAUAGUGAAAGACGGUUUUGCUGUCACUUAUAGAUGGAUCCGCGCCGCAUUAGCUAGUUGGUAAGGUAACGGCUUACCAAGGCAACGAUGCGUAGCCGACCUGAGAGGGUGAUCGGCCACACUGGAACUGAGACACGGUCCAGACUCCUACGGGAGGCAGCAGUAGGGAAUCUUCCGCAAUGGGCGAAAGCUUGACGGAGCAACGCCGCGUGAGUGAUGAAGGUCUUCGGAUCGUAAAACUCUGUUAUUAGGGAAGAACAAAUGUGUAAGUAACUAUGCACGUCUUGACGGUACCUAAGCAGAAAGCCACGGCUAACUACGU